rnacentral:rRNA from 1 species
AUACGGAGGGUGCAAGCGUUAUUCGGAAUCACUGGGCGUUAAGGACGCGUAGGCGGGUUGGCAAGUCAGAUGUGAAAUCCUACAGCUUAACUGUAGAACUGCAUUUGAAACUGCUAACCUAGAGUAUGGGAGGGGGAGAUGGAAUUAGUGGUGUAGGGGUAAAAUCCGUAGAUAUCACUAGGAAUACCGAAAGCGAAGGCGAUCUCCUGGAACAUAACUGACGCUAAGGCGUGAAAGCGUGGGGAGCAAACAGGAUUAGAUACCCCUGUAGUCC